rnacentral:misc_RNA from 1 species
AAGUCGUAACAAGGUUUCCGUAGGUGAACCUGCGGAAGGAUCAUUAACACGUAUCCAACGUUAAACCCCCCGUGAACCUUCAUUGUGCUCCCCCAUUCCGUUAGGACGCGGCAAUCCCUGGUAAAUCAUCGCCGAACAGUUUUGAUUCAGGGUAGCAGCGCGAGGCAAGUGGCCUGGCAUUCGAAAGAAUGGCGCAGUAACGAUCGCUAGAGGCCGACACGGCCGGCGACCGGGUCACCCCUAUCACCUUUGCAUGAAAACGGGCCUGCGCUUAAUUGUGCGGCCACCAAACUCGAACAACUGUUAACAAUGGAUAUCUUGGUUCUC